GAUGAACGCUGGCGGCGUGCCUAACACAUGCAAGUCGAGCGUGAUUUAUGAGGACGAAACUUCGGUCUAGGAAUCAUAAUGAAAGCGGCGGACGGGUAAGUAACGCGUAGGCAACCUGCCCUUAACACAGGGAUAGCCUCGGGAAACCGGGAUUAAAACCUGAUGAUGCCAAAGAGUCACAUGGCGCGUUGGCCAAAGAUUUAUCGGUUAAGGAUGGGCCUGCGUCUGAUUAGUUUGUUGGUGGGGUAACGGCCUACCAAGACUAGGAUCAGUAGCCGACCUGAGAGGGUGAUCGGCCAAAUUGGAACUGAGACACGGUCCAAACUCCUACGGGAGGCAGCAGUGGGGAAUAUUGCACAAUGGGCGAAAGCCUGAUGCAGCAACGCCGCGUGAGCGAUGAAGGCCUUUGGGUCGUAAAGCUCUGUCCUUGGGGAAGAAACAAAUGACGGUACCCAAGGAGGAAGCCCCGGCUAACUACGUGCCAGCCGCCGCAGUAACAC
rnacentral:rRNA from 1 species